rnacentral:lncRNA from 1 species
GUUUCCCUUGCGGGCGGCGCGUUUGCUCUCUCCUACGGUCGCUUGUCCCUUGCCGCUUGCGGCGGCCAUCCCCCAACAGCGGAACCUCCUUCCCUGUCCUCCCCGAAUCCUAUUUCCUUGUGAUAGCAGUCGGCGUCGAGGUUCGGCGCCACCGUUGUCACUGUGGAGGAAGAGAAGCCUGCAAGCCGUCGAGCCACCAGCUGGGGAAGGCGCCCGCCCGCGCCACCGGCUAGGAGGCGCCUGUCCGCGCACCCGUCACGCCGACGAGCCGCCUGCGCCCCUGUGAACCGGGAGCCGCCAGGUUCGGCGGCACCGACCGUGAGGAGUUCCGUGCCUCGAUCGAUCGACGGGGCUAGGUUCGUCGGUGGCGGCGACAACUACGGCGUCACCACCGAGCAGGCCAAGGGUGGCGCGGUGAUCCCUUCCCUUCGAUCCGACUUGUUGUGAUCGACUCCACUGAGGCAGGGCAGCUCGUGCUAUCUCAUUGUUUGUGUCAGAGACAGCCUGCAAUUUUGUAUCUGGUUUAAUGCACCAUAAGUUAGACCUUAUGCAUACCUAUGAAUUUCAAUUAAAAAAGGAUCAAUACUCCGUACAUGAUUUUACAUUACAUCUUGGCAAGCAAAGACGACAUCCUACCCAUUUGGACAUCAUGCAAUUUGUUGAGGAUCUCUGUAUGGCUAUUCUUUAGUGAAUAUUCAGAGAAAGAUAUAACUAAGUGUAUGCAGCUUAAUGAUAUGAGACUUUUCUGAUAUAUCAGUCAAUCAGUGUAUUCCAAUUUUAACAAUAAUAUUGUACCACAAUAAACUGUUAUACCGCUAGAUUAAUUAGCCCAUGUCUUUGCUUGCUCAGCAACCUGGCGGGGCAGACUUGUUCAGCUGUUAUGACGGUCAAAUGAGGGAGCCAGUUCGCAGUAGAAGCUGACUAGAUGGUAUUUGAUUUUCAAGAGUCGACCACCAAGUUGUCAUAAAUUGAUUACUUACAGCAAUUUCUGAAUCUUGCAUUGCACAUUUGAAGAUGUCCUGGUGUAUGUACCUCAGUUGGGGAUGCCUUGCAUCCAUUUUUUUUGCAAUGACCAUCGCAAACAUUAACAUGGUUGCCUUUGUAUGCAGCUGCUAGACACUUUCUUAAAGACAUGCAAGCUUAUUGCAGAUUCCAGAAGUAAACACGGUAUGGUGAGAUCUCCCUUGAUAGCUACUGCUCCUCAUGGGCUUAUCCAUGUUGCACGCCUGCAGUUGCAGAUCAAGUGAAGGAUUCUAUUUAACAAAGGUUUCAGAAUUCAGAUUCUGAUUUGCUGUAUAUCUUAGUACCAAGUGAACCAACAGCUUCCUUGCUGAUAUUAUGCAAUGCAAGUGGUAGUUGUUUCUGUCUGCAAUGAUGGCCAGAAAUCUGAAAUCACAUGCAGGACAGAAGAUAUGUACAGAUGGCAUUGUGCUUGGUUAGAGAAUAGGGUUGUUACUUGUUUGGAAAAAGUCUACAUCACCCCUGAACUAUGGGGUGGUGUCUACUUUAACCCACGAACUAUGAAACAGUCUAA